rnacentral:rRNA from 1 species
AGCAGCCGCGGUAAUUCCAGCUCCAAUAGCGUAUAUUAAAGUUGUUGCAGUUAAAAAGCUCGUAGUUGAAUUUUGGGUCUGGCCGGGCGGUCCGCCCUCUGGGUGAGCACUGUUCCGACGCCGGGCCUAUCCUUCUGGUGAGUCGGCAUGUCCUUUAUUGGGUGUGUCGGGGAACCAGGACCAUUACCUUGAAAAAAUUAGAGUGUUCAAAGCAGGCGUAUGCUCGGAUACAUUAGCAUGGAAUAAUGAAAUAGGACGCGUGGUGCUAUUUUGUUGGUUUCUAGAACCGCCGUAAUGAUUAAUAGGGAUAGUUGGGGGCAUUAGUAUUCAAUUGUCAGAGGUGAAAUUCUUGGAUUUAUUGAAGACUAACUUCUGCGAAAGCAUUUGCCAAGGAUGUUUUCAUUAAUCAAGAACGAAAGUUAGGGGAUCGAAGACGAUCAGAUACCGUCGUAGUCUUAACCAUAAACUA